UCCUGUUGUUGUUUUGGAGUUUAUGGCAUCAAAGAAGUUUAUGGUGACCGCCCGAACAUGGACUGCGGCCGAGGGAUGUUUUGCCCGUUUUGUGGCAAACACAUGAACAGCUUAACGCGGUUUUGCUUUACGUGUGGUCGGUGUUUGGAGUUUUUAAAGGACGCGGACAAGACGGAAACAUUGGAAACACAGGGGACGUCUUGACAGCCGGACAGUGCUAUGCAAAAACAGCCAUGCCCAUCAUACAAACAGUUCAUGGAGUACAGAAGCUCGAAAUCAAAAGAACGACAGUCUUUUAACUAUGGGCCAAAA